rnacentral:rRNA from 1 species
AUUGAACGCUGGCGGCAGGCCUAACACAUGCAAGUCGAGCGAGCGGCGGACGGGAGAGUAAUGUCUGGGAAACUGCCUGAUGGAGGGGGAUAACUACUGGAAACGGUAGCUAAUACAGCAUACCAUCAGAUGUGCCCAGAUGGGGUUAGCUAGUAGGGGUGGUAACGGCUCACCUAGGCGACGAUCCCUAGCUGGUCUGGGAGGAUGAGCAGCCACCCUGGAACUUGGACACGGUCCAGACUCCUACGGUAGGCAGCAGUGGGGAAUAUUGCACAAUGGGCGCAAGCCUGAUGCAGCCAUGGCGCGUGUGUGAAGAAGGCCUUCGGGGUGUAAAGCACUUUCAGCGGGUGGGCGUUACCCGCAGAAGAAGCACCGGCUAACUCCGUGCCAGCAGCCGCGGUAAUUC